AUUGAACGCUGGCGGCAGGCCUAACACAUGCAAGUCGAGCGGAUGAAGGGAGCUUGCUCCUGGAUUCAGCGGCGGACGGGUGAGUAAUGCCUAGAAAUCUGCCCGGCCGUGGGGGAUAACGUCCGGAAACGGGCGCUAAUACCGCAUACGUCCUGAGGGAGAAAGUGGGGGAUCUUCGGACCUCACGCUACCAGAUGAGCCUAGGUCGGAUUAGCUAGUUGGUGGGGUAAAGGCCUACCAAGGCGACGAUCCGUAACUGGUCUGAGAGGAUGAUCAGUCACACUGGAACUGAGACACGGUCCAGACUCCUACGGGAGGCAGCAGUGGGGAAUAUUGGACAAUGGGCGAAAGCCUGAUCCAGCCAUGCCGCGUGUGUGAAGAAGGUCUUCGGAUUGUAAAGCUCUUUAAGUUGGGAAGAAGAGCAGUAAGUUAAUACCUUGCUGUUUUGACGUUACCAACAGAAUAAGCACCGGCUAACUUCGUG
rnacentral:rRNA from 1 species